rnacentral:rRNA from 1 species
GACGAACGUUGGCGGCGUGCUUAAUACAUGCAAGUCAACUGAAGCAGUGGUAGCAAUAUCGCUGUGGAGGUGGCGCACGGGUGAGUAACACGUAGGUAAUCUGCCUUCAGGUCUGGCAUAACUCCGGGAAACCGGGGCUAAUAGCAGAUGAUGCAGCGGCUCGACAUCGAGACAGUUGUUAAAGCUAUGGCGCCUGAAGAUGAGCCUGCGUCUGAUUAGCUAGUUGGCGGGGUAACGGCCCACCAAGGCAACGAUCAGUAGCUGGUCUGAGAGGAUGAUCAGCCACACUGGAACUGAGACACGGUCCAGACUCCUGCGGGAGGCAGCAGUAAGGAAUAUUGCUCAAUGGGAGAAAUCCUGAAGCAGCAACGCCGCGUGAGGGACGAAGGGCUUUUGCUUGUAAACCUCUGUAGUGAGAGAAAAAAAUCCCAAUCUUUGGGACAUGAUGGUAUCUCAAAAGUAAGCCCCGGCUAACUACGUG